UGGGAUCACGAUCAGUAGAAUGGUAGAAUGGUGACGUCACAAAAAUAAUUCUACAAUCGACAAUUUUGGUAUCACGUUAACACGCUUGGGAAAGUAGAAUCGGUGCUCGGCAAUGUUCGGAUAUUCUACUAGCCAUGUUAAAAAUAUCGCUUCUUCUUCUUAAAAAUAUUGCUUUUUGACGUGUGGUUGUCUUUAUUUUGUGGUGGUUGUAUUCAAAAAGCUAACCUAAAGAAAGAUUAUAAUUUGUGAUUAUUUUCAAUUUGUAUAUUUUUGUCUUGGGUUGUUUGGAACUAUUUUAUUAGAAAUCACUAAAUUUUUAAAUUUUACCUGUGACUAGAGAACAUUGUUAUAUUAAGGUGUGUGAUCCAGACUUAAAAAUUUUAAACAUCGAUGCUAGAUGGGGAGGUGCAACACAUGAUGUGGAGAAACUCAAAUGUAAAACUUUUUUGCAGCAGAUCGUUUAAAAUAGAGAUCAAAGCAUUUUCCAUUUCUAUUCUGGCAAAGAUUACUUUCACUUCUUAGUUAUCUUUGCUGGACGGUGAAGCUUUAUAUCUUAUUAUGAAGUAUUUUGAACAUAAAACUUUUGUUUUAUGGAUGCAUUGAUCAAAUAUCUUAAAGAAAUGUUUAUUUAAAGUUUCAUAAUAAUUUUUAUAAGUAGUUUAAUAUAAUUACUUAUUUUUGCACUAGAAAUAAUAAUUGUAAAGCUUCAUUGACUAAUGGCCAGUUUCACCAAAGAUGAAUAGUAGUUUAUUCGAUGAAUAAAAUUAUUCAACUGAUAAAACUGACACAACUAUGUUUCUCUAACGUCAAAUAGUACUUAUUUUAUUUAUUCAUCAAAUAAAUAUUUACUCUUCAAAUGAAUUGACGAGUUAAUCUCACUUUAAAUAUCUAUAUAAAGAAAAUUUGUCAAUUUAAUUUUAAAUUAUCAAACUAUUCACUGAUUUAUUUGUUGUUGGUGAAACUGGCCAUAGAGAGUAAAAUUGCAUUAUUUUUCAAUUUACAUAAAUUUGUGGUUUAUUUGUGAUUUAUUCUUUGUUCUUAUUUUAGUCUUGGUAUGAAACAAUGUUAAGACAAUACUGUGUGCUUUUUCAGUCCUAUGAAAGAAAAUGUUUUGGAUGUAAUAGAGAAGUACUACAACUUUGUUAUGAAGAUUUGUCUUUAUGUUAUUUUUAUAAUGUUCAUGGAUUAUAUUUGUUUUUAUGUUUUCUUCAGUUUAAAUAAAGUUUAUGUUUUACCCA
rnacentral:lncRNA from 1 species